UGGGGAAUAUUGCACAAUGGGGGAAACCCUGAUGCAGCGACGCCGCGUGAACGAAGAAGGUAUUCGUAUCGUAAAGUUCUGUCCUAUGGGAAGAUAAUGACAGUACCAUAGAAGAAAGCUCCGGCUAACUACGUGCCAGCAGCCGCGGUAAUACGUAUGGAGCGAGCGUUGUCCGGAAUUAUUGGGCGUAAAGGGUACGCAGGCGGUUUAAUAAGUCGAAUGUUAAAGAUCGGGGCUCAACCCCGUAAAGCAUUGGAAACUGAUAAACUUGAGGAGUGGAGAGGAAAGUGGAAUUCCUAGUGUAGUGGUGAAAUACGUAGAUAUUAGGAGGAAUACCAGUAGCGAAGGCGACUUUCUGGACACAAACUGACGCUGAGGUACGAAAGCGUGGGGAGCAAACAGG
rnacentral:rRNA from 1 species